rnacentral:rRNA from 1 species
UACAGAGGGUGCAAGCGUUAAUCGGAAUUACUGGCGUAAGCGUGACGCAGAUGGUUGCGUAAGUCAGAUGUGAAAGCCCCGGGCUCCAACCUGGGAAUUGCAUUUGAGACUGCGUAGCUAGGGUGCGGAAGAGGGAAGCGGAAUUUCCGGUGUAGCGGUGAAAUGCGUAGAUAAUCGGAAGGAACACCAGUGGCGAAAGCGGAGCUUCCU